rnacentral:misc_RNA from 1 species
GGUGAUAGUGCAGAAUAUUACAUUCAGUGCUUUAUCGUACGCAGAGAAAAUUUCACAGAUUUUAAACGUGAUAGUGAGCAAGUUGUCAGAAUGAGUUAUCGGACUAUAUUCGUUUUCAAGAGCUCGUUAUCAACUUGAGGAGAUUUCAACCGUAAAAAAUCACAAGAUCGACGUGAUAAAAUAUCGAACGAUUUUUAUAUGUAAAAUAUUAGACCGCAGGCAGCAAAAGUGUACGAAGUCGACACAUUGCGUGAAACUUAUCAGCGUAAAAUUUUCUAAAUACCAUGGUGCCUCUUGGCGGGAAGAAUAUCGAAACCUCGCGUGGCAGAGACUUUACGGAGUGCAAACGUAUUUUUCACACAGUGCUCGUUACAUCGCGUUAUUGACAAGGUGUUCUUUUCGUCGACACGCAAAGAGACGCUUCAGUGUAGAUCAAUUGUUUCCUCGUUACAGAAAAAGAAAAAGAAGAAACAAAAAAAAAAAAGAAACGAAAGAACGAAAAUAUAAAGUGAUCGUGUGUCGUUCGUCGCGUUGAUUCCUUUUCCUGCGGUAUGAGCACAAGCUGGAUCUAUUUCCGUCGUGAAUUUGUUCUUAGAGCUGUUUCGAAUAUUCUACUCUGUCGCAGGAGAAUUGCGAUACCUGUUGUACAACUCGUCUGGCCAGAGAACCACGUUUACUACUGAAUCUUGAUUCUCGACGUUGAACAAGCAAGCGUGACGAAACUGAAACUCUGACAUAGAGAUUCGUUACACGGGCGACGAAGAGUCCCAUGUUAUAUUUUUUCUUUGCUGUUAGAAGCGCAUAUCGCGUUAGUACGUUCGUAGUGUGGCAUCGAAGUGCCUUGCUAAAGUAGAUAAGAAACGAAUAAUACCGAUAAGUUGUCAAUACCAUUUCUGGUCAUAUUCGUUCCAAUGAAGAUAAAGAAAAAUAAAUUAUUUUUGUAAGCUUACGUCAGUAGGAGCCUGAUAAAAUAUAAUCAAAGUUUCGACGGCCGAAAACCAUAAAACGGGUCGAAGGACGGCCGCCAGAAAUCCGCCUUGGCCUACUCGAUUGAAAAUC